GACGAACGCUGGCGGCGUGCUUAACACAUGCAAGUCAACGAUGCUUAUGUAGCAAUACACGAGUGGCGCACGGGUGAGUAACGCGUGGAUAUCUGCCUUUUGGUUCGGAAUAACCCCGGGAAACUGGGGCUAAUACCGAAUGGUUCCUUCGGGAUAAAGAUUUAUCGCCAAAAGAUGAGUCCGCGUACGAUUAGCUAGUUGGUGAGGUAAUGGCUCACCAAGGCGACGAUCGUUAGCUGGUCUGAGAGGACGAUCAGCCACACUGGGACUGAGACACGGCCCAGACUCCUACGGGAGGCAGCAGUGGGGAAUAUUGGACAAUGGGGGCAACCCUGAUCCAGCCAUGCCGCGUGAGUGAUGAAGGCCUUCGGGUUGUAAAGCUCUUUUGGCGGGGACGAUGAUGACGGUACCCGCAGAAUAAGCCCCGGCUAACUU
rnacentral:rRNA from 2 species